rnacentral:rRNA from 1 species
CGGACGGGUGGAGUAACGACGUGGAAAACCGUAGCCGUAUACUGGGGAGUAACACUUAGAAAUAGGUGCUAAUACCGCAUAAGCGCACAGCUUCGCAUGAAGUGGUGUGAAAACUACUGGUGGUAUACGAUGGUUCCGCGUCUGAUUAGCUUGUUGGCGGGGUAAUGGCUCACCAAGGCGACGAUCAGUAGCCGGCCUGAGAGGGUGAACGGCCACAUUGGGACUGAGACACGGCCCAAACUCCUACGGGAGGCAGCAG